rnacentral:rRNA from 1 species
ACGCUGGCGGCAGGCCUAACACAUGCAAGUCGAGCGGUAGAGAGAAGCUUGCUUCUCUUGAGAGCGGCGGACGGGUGAGUAAUGCCUAGGAAUCUGCCUGGUAGUGGGGGAUAACGUCCGGAAACGGACGCUAAUACCGCAUACGUCCUACGGGAGAAAGCAGGGGACCUUCGGGCCUUGCGCUAUCAGAUGAGCCUAGGUCGGAUUAGCUAGUUGGUGGGGUAAUGGCUCACCAAGGCGACGAUCCGUAACUGGUCUGAGAGGAUGAUCAGUCACACUGGAACUGAGACACGGUCCAGACUCCUACGGGAGGCAGCAGUGGGGAAUAUUGGACAAUGGGCGAAAGCCUGAUCCAGCCAUGCCGCGUGUGUGAAGAAGGUCUUCGGAUUGUAAAGCACUUUAAGUUGGGAGGAAGGGCAGUAAAUUAAUACUUUGCUGUUUUGACGUUACCGACAGAAUAAGCACCGGCUAACUCUGUGCCAGCAGCCGCGGUAAUACAGAGGGUGCAAGCGUUAAUCGGAAUUACUGGGCGUAAAGCGCGCGUAGGUGGUUCGUUAAGUUGGAUGUGAAAUCCCCGGGCUCAACCUGGGAACUGCAUUCAAAACUGACGAGCUAGAGUAUGGUAGAGGGUGGUGGAAUUUCCUGUGUAGCGGUGAAAUGCGUAGAUAUAGGAAGGAACACCAGUGGCGAAGGCGACCACCCGGACUGAUACUGACACUGAGGUGCGAAAGCGUGGGGAGCAAAC